CAUGCAAGUCGAGCGGUAGCACAGAGAGCUUGCUCUCGGGUGACGAGCGGCGGACGGGUGAGUAAUGUCUGGGAAACUGCAUGAUGGAGGGGGAUAACUACUGGAAACGGUAGCUAAUACCGCAUAAUGUCGCAAGACCAAAGUGGGGGACCUUCGGGCCUCAUGCCAUCAGAUGUGCCCAGAUGGGAUUAGCUAGUAGGUGGGGUAA
rnacentral:rRNA from 1 species